AAGGUCAAGUCAUAUGCAGAUAAUUUCAAAUUUAAGGGUUUUCCCAAAACGGAGGACAAUUGAUUGUAUUUCUCGCCUACUCUGUUUCGUGGUUCUACAAGACAAGUGCAAAAUAGUUUGCAAUUUUUGUCACUGCACAUUUUCUGCAUGUGGCAAUAGUAUUCUUUCUGUCAAAACCUUUGUCCCAAUUGAACUCUUCUCAUAAUAAAAGGGAUUAAUGGUCUGCACUUUUGCAAUUUUUUUUUUUUUAAAAGAAAAAU
rnacentral:misc_RNA from 1 species